UACGUAGGGACCAAGCGUUGUUCGGAUUUACUGGGCGUAAAGGGCGCGUAGGCGGCGCGGUAAGUCGGGUGUGAAAUCUCGGGGCUUAACUCCGAAACUGCAUUCGAUACUGCCGUGCUUGAGGACUGGAGAGGAGACUGGAAUUUACGGUGUAGCGGUGAAAUGCGUAGAUAUCGUAAGGAAGACCAGUGGCGAAGGCGGGUCUCUGGACAGUUCCUGACGCUGAGGCACGAAGGUCAGGGGAGCAAACGGG
rnacentral:rRNA from 1 species